GACGAACGCUGGCGGCGUGCUUAACACAUGCAAGCCGAACGGAAAGGCCCUGCUUUUGUGGGGUGCUCGAGUGGCGAACGGGUGAGUAACACGUGAGUAACCUGCCCUUGACUUUGGGAUAACUUCAGGAAACUUGGGCUAAUACCGGAUAGGCGCUCCUGCUGCAUGGUGGGGGUUGGAAAGUUUCGGCGGUUGGGGAUGGACUCGCGGCUUAUCAGCUUGUUGGUGGGGUAGUGGCUUACCAAGGCUUUGACGGGUAGCCGGCCUGAGAGGGUGACCGGCCACAUUGGGACUGAGAUACGGCCCAGACUGCAACGGGAGGCAGCGGUGGGGAAUAUUGCACAAUGGGCGGAAGCCUGAUGCAGCAACGCCGCGUGCGGGAUGACGGCCUUCGGGUUGUAAACCGCUUUCGCCUGUGACGAAGCGUGAGUGACGGUAAUGGGUAAAGAAGCACCGGCUAACUACGUG
rnacentral:rRNA from 1 species